GAUGAACGCUAGCGGCAGGCUUAAUACAUGCAAGUCGAGGGGUAACAUGGGGUAGCAAUACUCUGAUGACGACCGGCAAACGGGUGCGGAACACGUACGCAACUUUCCCAAAACUGGUGAAUAGCCCUCCGAAAGGAGGAUUAAUACGACCGUAACAUAUAGAGGUGGCAUCGCCUUUAUAUUAUAGCUCCGGCGGUUUUGGAUGGGCGUGCGCCUGAUUAGGUAGUUGGUGUGGUAACGGCUCACCAAGCCUACGAUCAGUAACUGGUGUGAGAGCACGACCAGUCACACGGGCACUGAGACACGGGCCCGACUCCUACGGGAGGCAGCAGUAAGGAAUAUUGGUCAAUGCCCGCAAGGGUGAACCAGCCAUUCCGCGUGAAGGAUGAAGGCCCUCUGGGUUGUAAACUUCUUUUAUAGGGGACGAAAAAGGGAAUUCCUUCCCACUUGACGGUACCCUAGGAUAAGCACCGGC
rnacentral:rRNA from 1 species